GAAGAACGCUGUCGGCGUGCUUAACACAUGCAAGUCUAACGGCGUGGCGAAAGGGUGAGUAACACGUGGGUGCUCUGCCUUGCACUUCGGGGUAAGCUUGGGAAACUGGGUCUCAUACCGGAUCGUGCAAGAGGAGCUCGCGGCCUAUCAGCUUGUUGGUGGGGUAAUGGCCUACCACGGCGUCGCCGGGUAGCCGGCCUGAGAGGGUUUACGGCCACAUUAGGACUGAGAUAAGGCCCAGACUCCUACGGGAGGAAGCAGUGGAGAAUAUUGGAGAAUGGGCGGAAGCCUGAUGCAGCGAAUCCGGGUGGGGGGUGAAGGCCUUCGGGUUGGAAACUCCUUGCGAGAGGGACGCGGUACCUGUAUAAGAAGCACCGGCUAACUACGUGCUAGCAGCCGCGGUAAUUC
rnacentral:rRNA from 1 species